rnacentral:tRNA from 1 species
GGACUGUGGCUCAGUGGUAGAGUGUUCACCUAGCAUGUGUGAGGCACUGGGUUUGAUCCUCAGCACCA